AUACGGAGGGUGCAAGCGUUACUCGGAAUCACUGGGCGUAAAGCGCGCGCAGGCGGUCUUUUAAGUUGGAUGUGAAAGCCUACGGCUCAACCGUAGAACUGCAUCCAAAACUAUUAGACUAGAGUGUGGGAGAGGAAGAUGGAAUUAGUUGUGUAGGGGUAAAAUCCGUAGAGAUAACUAGGAAUACCAAAAGCGAAGGCAAUCUUCUGGAACACUACUGACGCUGAGGCGCGAAAGCGUGCGGAGCAAACAGGAUUAGAAACCCUAGUAGUCC
rnacentral:rRNA from 1 species